UACGUAGGGUGCAAGCGUUAAUCGGAAUUACUGGGCGUAAAGCGUGCGCAGGCGGUUUUGUAAGUCUGUCGUGAAAGCCCCGGGCUCAACCUGGGAAUUGCGAUGGAGACUGCAAGGCUUGAAUCUGGCAGAGGGGGGUAGAAUUCCACGUGUAGCAGUGAAAUGCGUGGAGAUGUGGAGGAACACCGAUGGCGAAGGCAGCCCCCUGGGUCAAGAUUGACGCUCAUGCACGAAAGCGUGGGGAGCAAACAGG
rnacentral:rRNA from 1 species